UGCCAGCCGCCGCGGUAAUACGGAGGGUGCAAACGUUAAUCGGAAUUACUGGGCGUAAAGCGCGCGUAGGCGGUCUGAUAAGUGGGGUGUGAAAGCCCAGGGCUUAACCUUGGAACUGCAUUCCAAACUGUCAGGCUAGAGUAUGGUAGAGGGAGGUAGAAUUUCCUGUGUAGCGGUGAAAUGCGUAGAUAUAGGAAGGAAUACCGAUGGCGAAGGCAGCCUCCUGGACCAAUACUGACGCUGAGGUGCGAAAGCGUGGGGAGCAAACAGGAUUAGAUA
rnacentral:rRNA from 1 species